UUAAGCAGGAGAUAUUGCCGUGGCUCAAUUCGAAGGCAUGAUUGGAUCUAAAUCUGAACAUGUAAUCAGAUUGAGCCGCGUCAAUAUCUCUAGCUUCGUU
rfam:Zostera marina strain Finnish scaffold_181, whole genome shotgun sequence.